UGCUGCUACUGCUGGACCUUUUUCCACCCAGUCCUUCUGCUCACCUGGUGGGUGUGGCCAAUGUGCCUUAAUUGGCACCUGUUGGCUAUUUAAGACAGAGGAGGGAGCAAAGCGGCAGGCUGAGGAGCUGCAGGGCGUCCAGCAGACCGACGGCCUGCUCCACCGUCAGAGGAAAGGUCAGGUGAGGCCCUGAGUAGACCUCUGGAACCUCGAUGUUCUUGUAGCAGAAGUACCGCUCCCACUCGGCGUCACGACAGAUGUCGUUCUCUCUGAAGAUGUGUGAGAUCAAAUUCCCUGGAAAUGAAGCACAAUUCUCCCUGAAACAUCAGUUUCAGCCGCACACACACACCGUCUGGAGCCUCACUUUCACUGCUGGAUGGCGUGAAGUUGUCCAUCAGGUAUCCGAGGAAGUUAUACAGCUGCAAAAGGAGACGAGCAGAGGUGAAGGCGGAGCUUCUGCAGCAUCAGAACAGACGGACUCUCGACCCACCUUGAUCUGGGCCUGCUCUCCGGAGUACUCGAUGGACUGGAAGAUGUUCCAGGUGUAGCGGCGCCUCAUCUCUGUGCGAGCCACGUACUGCCGGUACCAUCGCUGGAUCAGGACGGCAGCUCUGAUGGCUGAGGAGCAACGGGAAAGAUCUAAGUUUGAGAUGGUUGUUCUUCCUCUGAGGAGCUUACAGGGAAAAUACCAUAGAAAAUGUUCUUCACCAUGCUGGAUUAUUCCACCUCAUCCACACUGGUUUGGUUUAAAGUGAAUAAAACUAUAAUUCUG